rnacentral:rRNA from 1 species
GACGAACUGUCCUAACGUUGUUCGGAAUCACUGGGCUUAAAGGGCGCGUAGGCGGUCGACCAAGUCAGGGGUGAAAUCCUGCAGCUUAACUGUAGAAGUGCCUUCGAUACUGGUCGUCUGGAGGGAGGUAGGGGUGUGCGGAACUUCCAGUGGAGCGGUGAAAUGCGUUGAUAUUGGAAGGAACGCCGGAGGCGAAAGCGGCGCACUGGACCUCUUCUGACGCUGAGGCGCGAAAGCUAGGGGAGCAAACGGG